UGCAGUCGAGCGGAUGAAGGGAGCUUGCUCCUGGAUUCAGCGGCGGACGGGUGAGUAAUGCCUAGGAAUCUGCCUGGUAGUGGGGGAUAACGUCCGGAAACGGGCGCUAAUACCGCAUACGUCCUGAGGGAGAAAGUGGGGGAUCUUCGGACCUCACGCUAUCAGAUGAGCCUAGGUCGGAUUAGCUAGUUGGUGGGGUAAAGGCCUACCAAGGCGACGAUCCGUAACUGGUCUGAGAGGAUGAUCAGUCACACUGGAACUGAGACACGGUCCAGACUCCUACGGGAGGCAGCAGUGGGGAAUAUUGGACAAUGGGCGAAAGCCUGAUCCAGCCAUGCCGCGUGUGUGAAGAAGGUCUUCGGAUUGUAAAGCACUUUAAGUUGGGAGGAAGGGCAGUAAGUUAAUACCUUGCUGUUUUGACGUUACCAACAGAAUAAGCACCGGCUAACUUCGUGCCAGCAGCCGCGGUAAUACGAAGGGUGCAAGCGUUAAUCGGAAUUACUGGGCGUAAAGCGCGCGUAGGUGGUUCAGCAAGUUGGAUGUGAAAUCCCCGGGCUCAACCUGGGAACUGCAUCCAAAACUACUGAGCUAGAGUACGGUAGAGGGUGGUGGAAUUUCCUGUGUAGCGGUGAAAUGCGUAGAUAUAGGAAGGAACACCAGUGGCGAAGGCGACCACCUGGACUGAUACUGACACUGAGGUGCGAAAGCGUGGGGAGCAAACAGGAUUAGAUAC
rnacentral:rRNA from 1 species